AACGAACGCUGGCGGCAUGCCUAACACAUGCAAGUCGAACGAGACCUUCGGGUCUAGUGGCGCACGGGUGCGUAACGCGUGGGAACCUGCCCUUAGGUUCGGAAUAACUCCCCGAAAGGGGUGCUAAUACCGGAUAAUGUCUUCGGACCAAAGAUUUAUCGCCUUUGGAUGGGCCCGCGUUGGAUUAGCUAGUUGGUAGGGUAAAAGCCUACCAAGGCGACGAUCCAUAGCUGGUCUGAGAGGAUGAUCAGCCACACUGGGACUGAGACACGGCCCAGACUCCUACGGGAGGCAGCAGUGGGGAAUAUUGGACAAUGGGCGAAAGACUGAUCCAGCAAUGCCGCGUGAGUGAUGAAGGCCUGAGGGUUGUAAAGCUCUUUUACCCGGGAUGAGAAUGACAGUACCGGGAGAAUAAGCUCCGGCUAACUCCGUG
rnacentral:rRNA from 1 species